rnacentral:misc_RNA from 1 species
AAGUCGUAACAAGGUCUCCGUUGGUGAACCAGCGGAGGGAUCAUUACAGAGUUGCAAAACUCCCCAAACCAUCGUGAACCUUUACCGCUAAACAGUUGCUUCGGCGGGUGGCCCGCGGGGGCCGCCGAGCCCGCCGGAGGAAUCCAAAAAACCAUCGCUUUCAGUACCGGCCUCUCUGAGUUAACUGUACUUUUAAUUAAGUCAAAACUUUCAACAACGGAUCUCUUGGUUCUG